GAGAGUUAAACAGUACGUGAAAUUGUUGAAAGGGAAACGAUUGAAGUCAGUCAUACCAACGGGAAAUCAACCUUUUGAGUUUGGUCUCGUGGGUUUUGAAGAGUUUUUAAAAGCCUUCGGAUUUUCGAGAUUGGGUUCUUCUGGUGUACUUUCUCGUACGGUUAGUCAACAUCGGUUUUGAAUGUCAUAAAAUGACUGGAGGAAUGUGGCUUCGAUCUCGUAUUGAAGUGUUAUAGCCUUUGGUAGAUGUGAUGUUCGAGACCGAGGAUUGCAACGGAUACCCUUCUGGGCUAUUCGUCUGAUCUCUGAAACGUUGCCUUGAUGUCGAAAGCUUGCUUAUGAUGUUAGGGUAUUACGAUCAAAAGGUUAGAACGGAUUAAAUUCGUUAAGGAUGUUGACGUAAUGACUUUAAACGA
rnacentral:rRNA from 1 species